AUAAUUACCCGGCAGGGAGGUACGGCUGCAGAGUGGUUUCCCAGGGUGAGGCUUUUCCAUUGUACUUGGGAUAUGCUGGCCCCUGUGACUUCUCCAAAGGCAGAAAACUCAACUGCAUAAUUUGUGGAAGUGUGGUCUAUGCUCACACUCUUUCCUU